UCUGCACAGCAAAAUAUGCCUUGGAAAUGGUUUUCCCUUAAUAGUUCUUCAACUUUAUUUGUUUUCCUUUGUGAAUGGAUUUGCCUUAAGCUUACUUGGGUUUAUUUAACAGAAAAGUAGGCCACUGAAGAAAUGUCAGAAUGCAUUUAUGCUGUUUUACUGCUUCCCUUGACAAUCUGAGGAACAAAAUGUGAUAGGGCAAAUGAAACAAGUGGUGAGGAAAGAAAUGUCACAUUUCAGGAACUUCAGCUGAUCUGCUUACUUGAAAAAUGAUCAGAGUUUGCCUAUAUGCCAUUAAAAUCAAAAGUGACUAUUAAAAAGUGAUUUAAUCCGCAGGGUAUCUGCAAGAUUUAAAAAAAAAAAAAAUAAAUCAAACUGAAGACUUUUUCAAGACUUUUUUAAAACCUACACAAAUAAAAUGAGUACCAUAUGAGUGGAAUACACUGCGUAACUUUAUUGAGUCAACUUAAUAAUUGUUACCCUGCUGUCUUAAAAUUUUAAGUUCAGUCAACUCAAAAAAGUUCAGUCAUCUUGAAAUGUUAAGUUUUACUAAAUGACAACUUAGAUAUUUAUGUUGACUCAUCUUACAAUUUUAAGGAAGCUGGGUAACAAACAGCUUUUACAUUUAAAAAAGUAAUUUUUUUGUUAAGUCAACUCGAAUAUCCAAGUUGUCACUUAACAAAUUGUGUGUGUGUGUUUUUACAGUAGCUCAAACCGUAAAAUGACUGUAAAAAGGUUGAUUUACCAUUCAAGUACAGGUUUUCACAAAAAGUUUUAUAAAAUGAUAAACUUUACAUUUAAGCCUUCAAACCAUUUUAAGAAAAGGAACGAGUCAAAAGUAUCAAUUAUACUGAUUUAAACAAUUCUAAAAUUCUAAAAUGUAAUAACAAAUAUGUAAUAUAUAAUGCAUUAGCAUAGCUUCUUGUCGAGCUUGUCACAUUUACAAUUGCAUGUUUGCUGUGUAAAAACAUGGGCCGAUUUUCGCAUUGGUCUGAACAGACGGGCUUAGUGAAAAUGCAAAAUCAUUCUCUGCCAGCAGGUACCUAUAUGUACAAAUCACUGCAGUUUCCAGUUGAAAUGAACACUAGAGGCAGUAAAACAACGUUUAUUCCUCUUUAUACAAAGUAUGACUCACACAAAGAGUUUUAAUUAAUAAAGCCUAAUUUUCACAGUUACUUACAGAAUAUUAUAUUAUUGCUUCAAAACAAUUUUAACAUCCUGUGCAAUUUGAAAAGUGAUAUUUUGAUCGUAGCCAUCACAUAUACAGCUUCAUAUGCAUGAGUUUUCUAAUUUAGUAGGUUUGCUCGGUAGCUCACGUGAUACAGCAUUGCACUCGAGUGAUAACGAGUUCCAGUAUGAACCCCGUAAAGCUAUGGUUCCACAAAACAGCUCAAAUCUCCAUAAGAAAGUUAAAAUUGCACAGCUGCAUCAACAAAUGCAUUUUCAUAUCACUUUUGCAUUUGUUAACACUAUCAGUUAGGUUCAGAGUUGGGUUUGGUGUAGGGGAUAUUUCCAACACGAUAGAGCACAACCUUUAGCGACACUCCCCGGAUAUUUGAAUUCUGAAAAGCCGCAAUACGUACCUCGAGCAGCAUAAUAAUAAUGCAGAAAUACGUGUCUGUACCAACGUAAUAAAAAUGUUCCACGGUCACGCAUUGAACGUGUGUUUUAGCGCCACUUUCUGGACAUUUCACAUGCAGUAAGGUACGUAAAUACGGUGCUGCAGAAAUGUAGAGGCACGCAUUUCCAAUGAGCCUGGGUUGAAAAACAAGUUGUUUUGUACAGCUAAAAAUAGCUGGAAACAAAUAACACCGGAAACCAGACCCAUUAAAUUUACCCACUUUUACGGCAAAAAUAAGAUGGAUAUUGCAAUUUUUGUCAUUCUGUCCCCAAAUUUAAGACCUCUUGAAAUAUAUUAAGAAAUCAACUUUUUUAAAAUGCAAUAAUAUUUUAGUUUUUACUGUAUUUUAGAUCAAACAACUGGAGCCUUGGUUAGAACUCUUUUAAAAAAAGAAUUCUUUUGACUUAAUUUUUUAUUUUUAAGUGCAAUUCUACAAUACUCCAUCUUGUUUUUGAUGUGAGAUGCAUUGGCUUGUGUUGAUGCCCAUCUGAGAGGUGACAGAAAUGAGCCAGCUUUGGGCCUUAUCUGUGGUGGGGGGCAUGACUGGCAUUGUUCACAUAGAUGGCAUUUGCAGGGAAUUUCCAACGCAACAUUGCAAAUGUUAUCCUUAUCCUGAAGAAUCACGCAAUAACCUGAGAAUGCUUUAGCUCUGUUUUUGGCACAUUCAGUUCUUUGGCACUGUAGCCAAUAUGCCAACAGCACUGAACAGCAGUGCCUAAGUAGGGCUGGGCGAUAUGGCUGAAAACUGUGUCACGAUAUCAGCGUUUCAUAUCGGUCGAUAUCGAUAAUUAUUGAUAUUUUUUAUGACCCAUUUAAAAUAAGGAACAGGAGAAAAAUAUAUUACAUUUCAACAUUUUUAUUUUAAACUUAACCUUCCUCUGAUCAUAACCCCCCCCAGUUAUUAAGACAGAAAUGUCAACAACCAUGGCAAACUCAAAUAAUUAAAAUGUAAACAUAAUUCUAAAGUCACAAUGAACACUUAACAAUUAUCUCUUAACAGUUAAGGUGCAAAAUGAAAGAAAAUGUAAGAAAUGCUUAAUAAAGUGUAAUAAAAUAGUGCAGUGUUAAAUAUAAACAGAGAAAUAUGCCACUGCCUCCGUUUUAUCUUUGUACCAUUUAGAUUCUUUGUCAUAAGGCAUUGAUGCAGAGUACCUCUCCAUGGUGGUCUGCUGCUUGUGUUCAGGGAUCGAAAUUAACUUUUUUAGUUGGUAGCACUGGUGUUCCCAACUUUAAAUAGUUAGGAGCACCAAAACUAAAUUUAGGAGCACUAAAUGAAUAUUAAGGUUGCAUUAAAUACAACUACACAACCUAUAGCCUACAGCCUAGAUAUGUUAUGUAGUCUAAUUUGCGCACAUUGGGGAGUCGCUCUCUAAACGUGGGGUAUUAAAACUGCUUUUGAAUGCGCGCGCGCGUUUUACUUUCGGUUUCGUUUUAACGAUGGCGCGAAACUCUCGGCGGUGCUGAGCGUCCAUUCUACAAUACAGGAUAUUAAUUUAAUAAUUUUGUCACUCCCACGUUGCUAGGUUAUAGAGCGAGUGCCUUUGUUAAUGCAACCAAACUUGCUUCGCAACCUCUGUUUUCUUCCGACGAAGAAUAAAAAAUAUCGAACGUUUUAUAGAACACAUUUUUUAUUGAUAUCGAUCACGUGUUUAUCGCGAUACAUAUCGUUAUCGUUUUAUCGCCCAGCCCUAUGCCUAAGCACAACAAACAUCAUAUUAAAAGUGAAAGUUCACCUUAAAAGUUCACCUUACUCACUCUCCAGUUGUUCCAGUCCCCUUCUGAUGAAGACAUUUUGUAAAAAAAAAAAAAAAUAAAUAAAAUGGUAAAAUGAAAGUCAAACCAGUUUCGGAGUGACACGAGGGUGAGUAAAUGAUGACUGUGUUGUUAUUUUUAGGGUUGAACUCUUCUUUAAAAGCCAUUUAAAGCUGUUAAAAGGUGAAACAAUGGCUGAGUUUUGCAAUGACAGCUCUUUCAUUGUAUUGCACGGCCUGUGAUUUAACUAAGAAAACCUGAAGAAACAUAUCCGCACUGGUUUUAUCUUACACACGACAAACUAUAGCCCAAGGUAGUGUGUCUUAAUAACAAAAGAAAGCAAAAGGGAGGGAAGAAAGGAUAGGUAUUUCAGGAAAAAAAAUUGGUUCUUUAAUCUUCUUUAAGGUUACAGCACAUCUAGAUCAGGUUUCUGCCUGUUGUAAAAUGUAGGCUGCCAAAAUGACAGUGUUUGCCAAGGCCAGUCUCAUUUGUUUCAGGUGGGACAGAUGCUAUGAGGAGGUCUCUUCUAUUAGACCCUGUGAGAUCACUAAAACAGAACCCAUUUUAACAUGGUGGCAUUCAUCUUUACAGGAAUAAUGGUCUUUUUAAACUAUUGACAGAUUGUUUCAUAUUAAAAUAUUGCUAUGGUUAGAAAUACUUGAAAUAAAAACAUUCUUUUUGUUUGAAUCAUAUUGUGGUUGAGAAAGAAGGAGUUGGACACAGUGGGCCUGCAAUAGCAUGCUUAAGAGAUGCUUUUCUUAAAUAAAUGAAAGAAGGAAUGUUCAGAUAAGAAGGUCACAAAGGUUCCUUAGUAGAGAAAAGUCCACACAAAUAGGAAGGUCCAUUGGAUCUUCAUCUAAAAGGCUAAAAUGAUUGUUGACCCAUAAAAUACAGCCACCACAGGCUACUGCCCUAUUCCUCUUUCGCUGUUUUGUCAUCUGACUUUUGUAAAUGUUGUUGUUGUGCUGUCUUAUCUCAAUGAGCAUAUAUCAUUCAUUGGAAUGAAAAAUAACAUCACAUGAUAACAGGUUCAGGAUAGAGAAAACACAGCUUUCCCAUUCUUGGCUGAAGCUAAAGAUAAUAUCAACACAAUGAAUAAUAGUUACCCAACAUUUUAAUUAAAGAAUUUGCAAUAACAACAACAUGAUUCAAAGAUGUAUUUAUUAUUUUCAUAUACGAAUACUUGUUUCGAUUAGUCAGUCUUGGCAUUUAAAAGUAUGAAAAGUCAUUCAGAAAUAGUUGACUGCUGAAUCAAAUUUUCACAGACAGCAAACUAAAAACCACACAGGAAAAAUGGCGGAGUAGUUUUUCCAGAGUUAAUUUUUUUUUCCUCAAAAAUAGUUGUUUUUGCUCUAUUUUGAGUGUACAGAGUAAAAUUUAUCCGUAGAGUGGGAGCAAAAUUACAGAGUAACUGUGACUCCUCCCCAAUUUGCUCUCAUCCCUUCGUUGAUCCGCCAUUACUGUUAAUCACGGCCAUCGACUGCUGCUGCUUUGGGUUUAGAAGACGGCACACUUCUGCUGGAUGGUAAAGAUGUAAACCAACAACAUUGUCAGAAUGUCAGAAUCAAACCUUUUACAUUUCUAAUGUUUUGGGAACGUGAAAAAGCCCUUCCUGUAGUUUAAAGGAAGAAUCUGCGAAGAGAAUCAUCUCCCUAUUCCUAUGCUUGGUUGACCCCAGGAGCAAGUUUCGUUAUGUUGGAACAGCAAAUUGUCUUCCGUUUUGAUGCCGGUUCACCUUUUGCCACCCUCUCAAGUCACCGCCACGUAAGACCGGGAAAGAUCUCAGCUAGGCAAACGUGAUUGUCUUGUGAAAUUCAUCAAGACUGUUACCAGUAUCCAAGGGCAGUUGGAUGGCAUUCGAGAGAGUCUCCAGCUGUAUCUACUUGUUGUUGGGCUGAUGAGAAGUAGGGUCCAGUCUUGUUUUAUUGUAAUUGUCCAAUAUGCUCUACUCUGUAAGACCUGUCCAUUGUGUAUAGCUUUCUGCAAAACACUGUCUAUGAUAUAGAUGGAGAAACCACCAAAUGAUCAUGAUCACAAGUGUAAUAUUGUAAAUGUAAGUGUAUUAUUUAAAUAGGAGAUUGAAAAAAUAAAACUGUGAGACAUGA